rnacentral:lncRNA from 1 species
UUUUGCCCCUCGUUCCUCCCCACACAUUUCAAUUGAUCAGUUCAGUUGAACCAACCCCCCAAAAAAUGGCUAAUACACAGACACCAUAAUCGAGACAUGAGCAGCAAUUUCUGCAAUAUCAGACCAAAAUGUUGUUUGUUUGUGUUUCUUGUUUCGUGACAUAAUAUGUUGGGGGGGCAUUUUGGUUUAGAGACUUAAGGUGGGGGAAAAGUCACUGCAAGGUCAUGCCAUAGGAUCCAGCGUUACCAACUUAACCUACUCAUUGACCCCUCCUUAUUGUUUGCACCACCAACUCCAUUUCUGUAUGUUUUCAAUCAUAGCUCAUUGGUAAGUUUAGUAUGGUGGGUUUAAAAUUUGAUUGGAUAUUAAUUUGAAAUAAGAGGUUAGAUCGAUUAAUUCAUAAAUUGGUUGAAUUUAUUAAUUGAAUUAUUUUUUCAAUAAUUUAUUCAAUCAAAUUUGACAAAUUGGUGAUCUAAUCAAUUUGACUACUAGUUUGAUUCUAAAAUCCUUGAUACUUGUUUUGAUGCUUAAACCAUUAGAAAUUAAUAUUAAUUUUAAAAAAAGGGAAAAAAAACUAACAUUAGGUAUGUCUAGUAGUUUAAUGUUGCAUUUUAGGGUUUUAGAUAACUUAUGAUUUGUUGAUGGAGUAUGCUUUGUUUUUUGAUAUGUUUCAUAUAUGUUUUAUGGUCUUGUUAUACAUCAAGAAUCACAGAUUCGAGCCCUACUAGGGAUCUAGGUCUCUAACCCAUGAUCUGGAUAGGUCCUACCAGAUGAUUAAGUGAGAAGCGAGCCACGAAAGAGCAGCAAGGCGAGUUCGCGGACUCAGCUCGUAACGCAAGGCUACAGAUCCAGGGAAGGCUACUGUCCCAGCUCGCAUACACCCAAGGAGCUUGCAGAAAGGGCCGUGUGCUCUGUAGACACAUGCCUAACAAACCUAGAGUUUACAGAGGAUGCUAGUACUAGAAGCAGCAUAAUCAAGACAAAUAGUGAGGGCUCUAUCCUGAGUUGUAAUAGCAUCUGUAACAACAUGUAUAAAUACCCGAACACUCCUAUCAAUAAUAUAUGAGAAAAUAUUACUCAACGUGCCUAUAUUUAAAAUUUGUUACUGUUC